UCUUCCCACUUCUGGACGCC
rnacentral:misc_RNA from 1 species